rfam:Candidatus Thrbacteria bacterium RIFCSPHIGHO2_12_FTLL_57_11 rifcsphigho2_12_scaffold_9999, whole genome shotgun sequence.
GCCCCUGUAGCUCAACGGAUAGAGUGCGGGCGUUCUAAGCCCUGAGAUGUAGGUUCGAUUCCUACCGGGGGCA